CUGUCUGUGCCUUGAAGAGGCAGCAAAACACAAUGGUUAAGAACAUAACUUUGAGGGUUUCCCUGGUGGUCUAGUGGAUGGGCAUCCACUCUGCAGUGCUGGGGACACCGGUUCGAUCCCUGGUCCCAGAAGAUUCCACUUGCCUCAGAGCAACUCAGCCUAUAUGCCACAACUACUGUGCCUGCGCUCUAGAGCUUUCGGGCUGCAACUGCUAAAGCCAGGGCACAGCAAAGAAGGCCCAGGACAACCAAUAAGGUGCCAAAGGAGAAGCAACCGCUAGGUGGCAGCAGAUGCGCAGAUGAAUCAAAGGGAACCAAUUGCCUUCCGUUUUAGGAACAUUUGCACCAAUCCCAACCUACAGAGAAUCCUCAGAGUCCCAAGUCUGCAAGGCUGGGUGGCUAAACGAAGAGAAUACCAUUGUACCAGCACUGUUCCAUGAUGAAAGACAGAAAAGGAGAAACCAGAAGAGGAACAGGAGGUACCCGGGGCAGCGUCAGAAGAGAACAAAACUCCUGGAUACCAGGGACAGAGGCGCUUUAAUCUCUGGCCGAAAGGAAGCUCUCCCUGCGGUCUCCCCACAAGAAGCGACUCGGGGAGGAUAAAUCUUGAGUGGCACUGACUUGCUA